GACGAACGCUGGCUGCGGGCUUAACACAUGCAAGUCGAACGGAAAGGCCCGGGUUUUUUGCGGUGCUCGAUUGGCGAACGGGUGAGGAACACGUGAGUAACCUGCCCUUGACUUUGGGAUAACUUCAAGAAACUGGGGCUAAGACCGGAUAGGAGCUCCUUCUGCAUGGUGGGUGUUGGAAAGUUGCGGCGGUUGGGGAUGGACUCGCGGCUUAUCAGCUUGUUGGUGGGGUGGUGGCGUACCAAGGCUUUGACGGGUAGCCGGCCUGAGAGUGUGACCGGGAAAAUUGGGACAGAGAUACGGCCCAGAGCAGUAAGGGAGGCAGCAGUGGGGACUAAUGCCUAAUGGGCGCAAGCAUGAUGCAGCAAGGCGGCGUGAGGGAUGAUGGCCUUCGGGUUGUCAACGGCAUUCGGCUGUGACGAAGCGUGAGUGAAGGUAAUGGGUAAAGAAGCACCGGCUAACUACGUG
rnacentral:rRNA from 1 species